AAAUAAAUUACUAAAGAAAGUUUCACAAUUAUCUUUAACUAAACGAUGAGAAUUUAAUUCACGAUACCAAUAUGACAUAAAAUAACAAAAAGUAGAUGUAAUGAACAAAAAUUAGGUGGCACAGCCAACCAUAUAAAAAGAACGAAAAUUAGGUGGCACGGCCAACCAUAUAAUAAUGUAAAGGACAAAAAUUAGGUGGCAUAGCCAACCAUAUAACAAAGAAAGGGCAGAUCGGGAGGCUCGGCCUUCCCUUUAAGGAAAGAAAAUAAACAGAAAAUAAAAACGAAGGAGGCUCGGCCUUCCUUUAAAGUAAAAUAACUAAAGUAAUAAGAUUGAAAAAGGAACGAGUGUACCUGAUUUUUGGAGAUUAUGAAAGAGAAGAAAACCUCACAGAAAGUAGUAGAAAAUAAUCCUUGACGCAAAUCCCCGGCAACGGCGCCAAAAACUUGCUACAACUUUAAGGUUGCAAACCCAAGUGCAGGUUGUCGCAAGUAGUAAAUCUCGGAAGUCCGAGGUCGAACCACAGGGAAUUGGAAGGAAAUAAACUAUUCUAUGAGUAAUGAACGGUUGGUGGAAAUACGAUUGAGACGAACACUAGAGCGUCGGGGAUCCACUUCGGAUAAAUGAGUAGAAAUUGCCCUUGAUCUUUAAUUUAACUCAUAUGAAAAUCAACUAAGGAGUGAUCUCAUAUGGAAGAUAAAACAUUGAUCACAAAUAUAUUAAAAGAUAGAUCUUGAUAAUUGUUUGAGAGAAUAUGUCAAAAUAAGUUGUUGGAAUGUAGAGAUUAUCUAAGCAUUUAUUGUGCCAAAAUUGUCAACAAUAAAUCAAAGUCUUUAACAAACCAAAACUAUUUGUAGAACAUAUACUUCAACCAAGUAAGAAGAUGAACAUUGAAGAACAAAAUGAAAGAUCAAAGAUAAUACUAAACAUUCAUCAAAGUUUCACCCUUAGCUCUAGCUAAAUGUUUAGAAAUACAUAGUGAAAUGUUACAAAGAAAAUGAAGGAAACUAGAAUAUGAUGGAGAGAAUUUGAUGCUUCAAAAUCGUGGCCAAGGUCCCCUUUUAUAGGCAAAGGAACAUCCAAAAUUCAAGUAGGCAAUGCAACUUGUUUCUGUCCAGCUUCAAGACAGCUGGAACAUGCAACUUGAUGCCAAUUUUCAGAUACAUUGUGCAGCGACUUUGGACUUAUGAUCAACAGAUAAAUUAUUACCACUUGAGUUAUAUUUCCAUUGGUUCAAAUAUCAGGUUCAUUGGAUCUAUAUAACUCUGGAUAUGACAAAAACAAUAAGUGCUGCUUCACAGGUAAAGCUGUAUCCGGC
rnacentral:lncRNA from 1 species